GCCUGGGUGGCUCAGUCGGGUUAAGCGUCUGACUUCGGCUCAGGUCACAAUCUCGCGGUAUGUGGGUUUGAGCCCCGCGUCAGGCU
rnacentral:tRNA from 1 species